AACGAACGCUGGCGGCGUGGAUAAGACAUGCAAGUCGAGCGCUGAUUACGGGGUAGCAAUAUUCCGUGGUCGGAGCGGCGCAAGGGUGCGUAACACGUGGGUAAUCUGCCAUGAAGUUUGGAAUAACUCGCUGAAAGGCGAGCUAAUGCCGGAUGUGAAAGCUGGGAGGCAUCUCUCGGUUUUCAAAGCUGGGGACCGUAAGGCCUGGCGCUUCAUGAUGAGCCCGCGGCCUAUCAGCUAGUUGGUAAGGUAACGGCUUACCAAGGCUAAGACGGGUAGCUGGUCUGAGAGGAUGAUCAGCCACACUGGAACUGACACACGGUCCAGACUCCUACGGGUGCAG
rnacentral:rRNA from 1 species